rnacentral:rRNA from 1 species
UACAGAGGGUGCGAGCGUUGUCCGGAAUUACUGGGCGUAAAGAGCUCGUAGGUGGUUUGUCGCGUUGUUCGUGAAAACCCACAGCUUAACUGUGGGCGUGCGGGCGAUACGGGCAGACUGGAGUACUGCAGGGGAGACUGGAAUUCCUGGUGUAGCGGUGGAAUGCGCAGAUAUCAGGAGGAACACCGGUGGCGAAGGCGGGUCUCUGGGCAGUAACUGACGCUGAGGAGCGAAAGCGUGGGGAGCGAACAGG